GCUCGUAUCGUAUAGUUGUCAGUAUGUCAGACCAAUAAUCUGAAAAUUCGAGUUCAAUUUUCACUGAGAGCA
rnacentral:tRNA from 1 species